UAGGGAAUCUUCCACAAUGGGCGAAAGCCUGAUGGAGCAACGCCGCGUGUGUGAUGAAGGCUUUCGGGUCGUAGAGCACUGUUGUAUGGGAAGAACAGCUAGAAUAGGAAAUGAUUUUAGUUUGACGGUACCAUACCAGAAAGGGACGGCUAAAUACGUGCCAA
rnacentral:rRNA from 1 species